GCGAUGAAUCAGGCUGCCGCCCAGCGCCUGCUUUUUUACAUAAGUAAACAUAGGGCAAUGUUGUUUUUGUAAAAAAGCAGGCGCUGGGAGGAAAGUCCGGGCUCCGCAGGGCAUGAUGCCGGGUAACACCCGGGUCCAAUGCUUAAAAUCUUGGAUUUUAUGCGUUGGAACAGACAGCGCAACAGAAAGUAUACCGCCUGACCGCAUGGCCAGGUAAGGGUGAAAUGGCGGGGUAAGAGCCCCCCUCGGCAGCGGCAACGCUGCCGCAAAGAUUCCGGAAUUGCUGCCGGGAAGAUAGCAAGUGUUUUGCCGCAGGUAAAACUCGAAGCCGUUUUCCGGCUGCGCCGGAAAACGGCAAACCUCAUCAGGAGCAAAGUCAAGCAGCGUUAGCAAAAAAGCUUGCUUUUUUGCCUGCCGCCUGCCCGGCGGUUAAACGCGGGUAGACUGCAAAAAAGGACCGGUAACGGUUCUUUCAGACAGAUGGCAGCAGUGUAGUUCCCUAAAGGGGGAGACUUCACUGGAGUUUUGUUCUGCAAAACUCCAAAACCAAAAGCCUCAAGGCUUUUGGUUACAGAACCCGGCUUAUGGUUCAUCGCUUUU
rnacentral:RNase_P_RNA from 1 species